rnacentral:rRNA from 1 species
GACGUAGGGCGCGAGCGUUGUCCGGAAUUACUGGGCGUAAAGAGCUCGUAGGUGGUUUGUCGCGUUGUCCGUGAAAACUCACAGCUUAACUGUGGGCGUGCGGGCGAUACGGGCAGACUGGAGUACUGCAGGGGAGACUGGAAUUCCUGGUGUAGCGGUGGAAUGCGCAGAUAUCAGGAGGAACACCGGUGGCGAAGGCGGGUCUCUGGGCAGUAACUGACGCUGAGGAGCGAAAGCGUGGGGAGCGAACAGG